CCCUCCCUCCCCAGACCCUCCUACUUCCUGGACAGUGUUGAAACAUGGAUGCUGUCCAGGAAGUAGGAGGGUCUGGGAGGGAGGG